CCACUGCGCAGCCUCUCUGCGCACCGCCAGCCGCCAUCUUGAACCUUGGCAUCUUGGGCUAGGUGUGAGACGUGUGUCUGCGCUGAAGAAGCACUCUGCUAUACACCGGAAAGUAACAGCGCUGUGAAUCAGCUAGACUUCCGCUUGGAAAAAGUUACCCAGGAGAGGACAGGAGCAGAUUAUAGUGACUGUGGCCGACUUCAGCCCCCUGCGAAUUAUCUGACCACCCCCGCCCUCCAAGCUGUGGAUGCCACAAUGUGCGGGUGGAGCAUCCCCCGAGAAUGCUGCGUGGGGCAAGACGUCAGAGUCCUCCUUUGGCCUCUUCGCAUGUUAACCCCUGGGGGCUUAUGGGCCACACUGUGGCCAGUUGUGGGAUUGGCUGGCCUUCUCAAGCUGGGCCUUCGGAUAUCAGGAGAGGCCCUCCUGGGUGGAUUUCAUCCUUCAGGAUGGAGCCCGGGCCUUGGGAACCUCCUGCAGGCCCAGAGGAGCAAACUGGUGGCCUCCAGUCCGUUUGCACCCUCUUCCGCCUGGAGCCAAGUAGGUGGCCAGUUACAAAUGCCUUUUUAAUGUUGCUCUUGACACCUCUAUAAAGUAUCAGGCCACUGCUUUGGUUAAUUUUAUCCUGAAGCUGUUUUCUGUUUUAUUUCCUAUUUGCCUGAAGGGAUGGUGCCCUUGCCAAGCAGCUGAUCAGGUGAGCGAUUGUAAAAAUGUAUUAUAACUUUGGAGAAUUUCUGAUCCAGCUGCCUCCUAUCAUCAGGUCAAGACCUAUUCAUGGAGUAAUUAAAAUCCUGUGAUGACUGAAAAACAUAUUUCCUCCUCUCCUUUUUCUAUCACUGGUUGGUCCUGACCAGGGAGCCCUAGCAGGGGUACCUUGUGAUAAAGUCAGGGUCUUCUUCAGAACCUGCAACAAACUUCAUUUUCUCUGGAACAGAUGGGGAUCCUUCCACUGCUUCCAAACUGGGCUGAGCCAACUCUGAGAUUUCUGUGUUCCAUUUUCUUGAUACUCCAGUGAAUUAUCAAGAGAAAGCUUUGUAUCAAGGUAGAGAAGCAGCUUUUUCCAGAUCCAUGUUUCUCCCUGGGAAGUUCAUUUCAGGUGCUCUGUCAUGUCCGACUCUUUGCAGCCCCAUGGACUAUAGCAUGCAAGGCCUCCCUGUCUAUCACCAACUCUCAGAGUUUACUCAGACUCAUGUCCAUUGAGUCAGUGAUGCCAUCCAACCAUCUCAUCCUCUGUCCUCCCUUUCUCCUCCCACCUUCAAUCUUUGCCAGCAUCAGGGUCUUUUCCAGUGAGUCAGUUCUUCGCACCAGGUGGCCAAAGUAUUGGAGUUUCAACUUCAGCAUCAGUCCUUCUAAUGAAUAUUCAGGACUGAUUUCCUUUAGGAUGGACUAGUUGGAUCUCCUUGCUGUCCAAGGGACGCUCAAGAGUCUUCUCCAACACCACAGUUCAAAAGCAUCCAUUCUUUGGCACUUAGCUUUCUUUAUGGUCCAACUCUCACAUCCAUACAUGACUACUGGAAGACCCAUAGCCUUGACUAUUCACACCUUUGUUGGCAAAGUAAUGUCUCUACUUUUUAACAUGCUGCCUAGGUUUGUCAUAACUUUUCUUCCAAGGAGCAAGCAUCUUUUAAUUUCAUGGCUGCAAUCACCAUCUGCAGUGAUUUUGGAGCCCCCAAAAUAAAGUCUGUCACUGUUUCCACUGUUUCCCCAUCUAUUCCCCAUGAAGUGAUGGGACCAGAUGCCAUGAUCUUAGUUUUCUGAAUGUUGAGUUUUAAGCCAACUUUUUCCUUCUCCUCUUUCACUUUCAUCAAGAGGCUCUUUGGUUCUUCUUUGCUUUCUGCCAUAAGGGUGGUGUCAUCUGCAUAUCUGAGGUUAUUGAUAUUUCUCCCGACAAGCUUGAUUCCAGCUUGUGCUGCACCCAGCCCAGCGUUUCUCAUGAUGUGCUCUGCAUAGAAGUUAAAUAAGCAGGGUGACUGCCUGGGAAACACAACCCUAAAUCCCCACUGCCUGUACUUGGUCAGCUUACAAUCCAAACAGCUAUUUUCCUAAGGAAAUGCAGAGUUUGCAGGACCUUUUCUGCAGUUUAUGCCUGCUGUGUCAUCACCAGUUACAGAUUACAGCAGAUGCCACAUGUGUGUAUGUAUGUAGAGGAAGGUGAGAGAGAAUCAGAAGAGAGAAGAGAGUGGCACUCUGGCUCAGCUCCUCCAGUGAAAGUGUUAUUCUCUCAGUCGUGUCUGACUCUCUGCAACCCUGUGGACUGUAGCCCACCAGGCUCCUCUGUCCAUGGAAUUCUCUGGGCAAAAGUACUGGAGUGGGUGGCCAUUCCCUUUGCCAGAGGAUCUUUCUGACUCAGAGUUCAAACUCAGAUGUCCUGCAUUACAGGCAGAUUUUUUUUUUUUUUUAAUCAUCUGAGCCACCUCAGCUCCUCCAAGUUGACGUUAGAAGCAUACAAUUUAUCAAACUUUACCAGGGUUUCAAAUUCAAAGCCAUUUGAAUUGAUGGUUCAAUUAAAGCCAACUCCUGUCAAUGGACUAUGACGCCGGAGUUCCCAUGUUCUCAGAUAGCAUCUUC
ensembl:lincRNA